rnacentral:rRNA from 1 species
CCUACGGGGGACAGCAGUAGGGAAUAUUGCUCAAUGGGGGAAACCCUGAAGCAGCAACGCCGCGUGGAGGAUGAAGGUUUUAGGAUUGUAAACUCCUUUUGUUAGAGAAGAUUAUGACGGUAUCUAACGAAUAAGCACUGGCUAACUCCGUGCCAGCAGCCGCGGUAAUACGGAGGAUGCAAGCGUUAUUCGGAAUCACUGGGCGUAAAGCGUGCGUAGGCGGGGUAAUAAGUCAGAUGUGAAAUCCUGUAGCUUAACUUCAGAACUGCAUUUGAAACUGUUAGUCUUGAGUGUGGUAGAGGUAGGUGGAAUUCUUGGUGUAGGGGUAAAAUCCGUAGAGAUCAAGAAGAACACUCAUUGCGAAGGCGGCCUGCUAAAACGUUACUGACGCUGAUGCACGAAAGCGUGGGGAGCAAACAGGAUUAGAUACCCUUGUAGUC